rnacentral:lncRNA from 1 species
UUUUUUAAUAUUUAUCUUUAUAAAAAUUUUAACAUUUUUAAAUAUAUUUUUACUAUCAAGAUCCGUAAAAAAAAAUAUAAUUAAAUAUAGAUAAAGUACUUAAUCAUGAUUGGUGAAUAAGGUAAAUUGACUUUUUUUUAAUCCAUUUUAUAUCAUUUGUGAUGGUAGAAAAAAAAAAAAUGGCCGUUGAAAAUUUUUGAAAAGAUAUUUCUGUACAAUUCUAAUAGUUGGAUCUUUUGAAGAAAUAUAUUUGUGAUGACAAAAAUAUCUUUUUACUUAAUUAUUUUUUGACAGUGAUAUAACGGUAAAAAAUUAGAGAAAAAAAAAUGAAUAUUACUGAAUUUUUGUAGAAAUAAAUAUAAAAAGUUAAACUUUGUAAAAAUAUAUUUGCUAUCCGAUAGAUUUACAGAGAGCUAUAAGAAAUUAACCAUAUU